AAUGAAUUGCCUGACAAAAGGGUUACCUUGAUAGGGUAAAUAAUGCAGCCAAUACUGCAUUCAUUA
rnacentral:tRNA from 1 species